rnacentral:rRNA from 1 species
GACGAACGCUGGCGGCGUGCUUAAUACAUGCAAGUCGAACGGACAGAUUAUACCGUGGCUUGCUGGACCAGUGACGAACGGGUGAGUAACACGGGAUAAACCUUCGGUAAACUGUCUGGUAACGGGUGGAAACUGCGGCUAAUGCUGGCUACUAGCGAGUACUGCAUGUUAUCUCUUUGUAAUGAAUUUAGGGUUGGGAUGGACUCGCGGCCAGACAGCUUGUAGGUGAGGUAACGGGUCGCUGAGGUAACGACGGGUAGCCGGACUGAGAGGGAGACCGGCCACAGUGGGACUGAGAAACGGCCCAGACUGAUACGGGAGGCAGAAGUGGGGAAUAUUGCACAAUGGGCGGAAGCCGGAUGCAGCGACGCCGCGUGAGAGAUGACGGCCUUCGGGUUGUAACCCUCUUUCAGCAGGGAAGAAGCGAAAGUGACGGUACCUGCAGAAGAAGCAACGGCUAACUACGUG